CAUCUAGCACCCUCUAACCCAAUAAACCACAGGGCAGUCUAGAACUUACUGGGUGCAAGCAAAUGGGAGAGACCUUUUGUGUAGAAACAAACAGCAAAAAAAGCUGAAGGUUGCAUGUCUGGUUGGACUUGAUGCAUGACAUUUGCAUGACAGCUAACAACCUAGCUCUGGAUGUGUCACUGAGCAAACAUGGCCUACCCAGCAAACACUAACGGCAGUGCUGCAG